rnacentral:rRNA from 1 species
CCUACGGGGGGCAGCAGUGGGGAAUAUUGCGCAAUGGGCGAAAGCCUGACGCAGCGACGCCGCGUGAGGGAUGAAGGUCUUCGGAUCGUAAACCUCUGUCAGCAGGGAAGAACGGUCACUGUGCUAAUCAGCAGUGAAUUGACGGUACCUGCAAAGGAAGCACCGGCUAACUCCGUGCCAGCAGCCGCGGUAAUACGGAGGGUGCGAGCGUUAAUCGGAAUUACUGGGCGUAAAGCGCUCGUAGGCGGUAUGUCAAGUCAAGUGUGAAAUCCCCGGGCUCAACGUGGGAACUGCCUUUGAAACUGGCAAACUGGAGUGUGUGAGAGGAUAGUGGAAUUCCAGGUGUAGGGGUGAAAUGCGUAGAUAUCUGGAGGAACAUCAGUGGCGAAGGCGACUAUCUGGCACAUAACUGACGCUGAGGAGCGAAAGCGUGGGUAGCAAACAGGAUUAGAUACCCCAGUAGUC